GGUGGGGUCGUAAACUCCGCCCGGACACACACUCUCGCGCGCACACACACACCCCCACCCGCUGCCGUGGCAACCGCGCUGCGCCGACUCGCCCGUGUUUACAUAAGUUUCCAGAUACCGUUGUAGCGACCUCUGCGUAAUUCGGCGGUCGUUUGAAUGCGGUUCAAAAGGAAAACGUCUUUUGUGUUAUUGAUAAAAUCCAACCUCUGCGUCCCCCCUCCCCCCCCACCGCAGGGUAAAUCAUAAUUGGAAACCUUUUUAACUGUUUCCUUUUUUAAAAAAGUUUCUUCCUGAAAUCCAAGUCAUCUCCAACUAUGGGUAUCCUGGACUAACGCCGCAAGGUAGCGAAAAGUCUGUCCAGAGUGGGCGAUGCUGACCCGGACAGGCGGGCCGGGAAAGGAUAGAUAGUAUUCAUCUGUACAUUGGCAGGCCCCUCUCGACAAACCAAAAGACCGGAGGAUAAAAGUUGUGUGAAUGCAGUUCCACAUAAAAAUGAGCCGCUUACCCUGACCGUGCGUGACCCGGCAAAGCGUGUUUCACCAGGAGUGACAAGAAACAGAACCGCGACGCCCACAGCGUCAGGGCAGCCCCAGGGGGUCAUGGAUGAGGAAGACGUAGCAGAGAUAAACACCUCUGUUUCUGAUCGGACCUGUCUGUCAUGCCGGCAAGACUGCAAAGAACAGAGCACUAAGAAGACAGCAAUCGCCUGCAGGGAGCGACAGGGUCCCACCUACCUCCAGGAUCACAUAGAC